rnacentral:rRNA from 1 species
AGUGAACGCUGGCGGUAGGCCUAACACAUGCAAGUCGAACGGCAGCACAGUAAGAGCUUGCUCUUACGGGUGGCGAGUGGCGGACGGGUGAGGAAUACAUCGGAAUCUACUUUUUCGUGGGGGAUAACGUAGGGAAACUUACGCUAAUACCGCAUACGACCUACGGGUGAAAGCAGGGGAUCUUCGGACCUUGCGCGAUUGAAUGAGCCGAUGUCGGAUUAGCUAGUUGGCGGGGUAAAGGCCCACCAAGGCGACGAUCCGUAGCUGGUCUGAGAGGAUGAUCAGCCACACUGGAACUGAGACAGGGUCCAGACUCCUACGGGAGGCAGCAGUGGGGAAUAUUGGACAAUGGGCGCAAGCCUGAUCCAGCCAUACCGCGUGGGUGAAGAGGGCCUUCGGGUUGUAAAGCCCUUUUGUUGGGAAAGAAAAGCAGCAGGUUAAUACCCCGCUGUUCUGACGGUACCCAAAGAAUAAGCUCCGGCUAACUUCGUG